rnacentral:rRNA from 1 species
CCCUAGUAACUGCGAGUGAACCGGGAAAAGCUCAAAUUUUGAAUCUGGCGGUCUUUACGGCCGUCCGAGUUGUAAUCUAGAGAAGCGUCUUCCGCGCUGGACCGUGUAUAAGUUUCCUGGAAUGGAACGUCGUAGAGGGUGAGAAUCCCGUCUUUGACACGGACUACCAGGGCUAUGUGAUGCGCUCUCGACGAGUCGAGUUGUUUGGGAAUGCAGCUCAAAUAGGGUGGUAAAUUCCAUCUAAAGCUAAAUACAGGCGAGAGACCGAUAGCGAACAAGUACCGUGAGGGAAAGAUGAAAAGAACUUUGGAAAGAGAGUUAAACAGUACGUGAAAUUGCUGAAAGGGAAACGCUUGAUGUCAGUCGCGUUCGCCGGGGAUCAGCCUUGCUUUUUUGCUCGGCGUACUUCCCGGUUGACGGGUCAGCAUCAGUUUUAUUCGUCGGAAAAUGACUUGAGAAAUGUGGCACUCUUCGGAGUGUGUUAUAGGCUCUCGUCGAAUACGACGUUUGGGACUGAGGAACUCAGCACGACCUCUAGGGGUUCGGGGCUUAGGCCCACGUUAACGUGCUUAGGAUGCUGGCAUAAUGGCCUUAAGCGACCCGUCUUGAAACACGGACCAAGGAGUCUAACUCGCAUGCGAGUGUUUGGGCGAUUAAAACCCAAGCGCGUAAUGAAAGUGAAAGUCGAGACCUCUGUCGUGGAGGGCAUCGACGCCCGGACCAGAGCUUUUGCAAAGGAUCUGCGGUAGAGCAUGCGUGUUGGGACCCGAAAGAUGGUGAACUAUGCCUGAAUAGGGUGAAGCCAGAGGAAACUCUGGUGGAGGCUCGUAGCGAUUCUGACGUGCAAAUCGAUCGUCG